CAUUCCCGACACGGGGAGGUAGUGACGAAAAAUAACAAUACAGGACUCACAUGAGGCCCUGUAAUUGGAAUGAGUACAUUCUAAAACUCUUAACGAGUAUCCAUUGGAGGGCAAGUCUGGUGCCAGCAGCCGCGGUAAUUCCAGCUCCAACAGUGUAUGCUAAAGUUGUUGCGGUUGAAAAGCUCGUAGUUGGAUUUUGGGCGAGCGUGGCCGGUCCGUCGCAGGGCGUGUUACUGGUCGCGUUCGCCUCGACUUCGGUUCUCUGUCGGUGCUCUUGACUGAGUGUCGGCGGUGGCCGAUAAGUUUACUUUGAAAAAAUUAGAGUGUUCAAAGCAGGCUGCUCGCCUGAAUAGUGUUGCAUGGAAUAAUGGAAUAGGACCUCGGUUCUAUUUUGUUGGUUUUCGGAGCACGAGGUAAUGAUUAAGAGGGACAGACGGGGGCGUCCGUACUCUGCCGUUAGAGGUGAAAUUCUUGGAUCGGCGGAAGACGAACUACUGCGAAAGCAUUCGCCAAGAAUGUUUUCUUUAAUCAAGAGCGAAAGUCAGAGGUUCGAAGACGAUCAGAUACCGUCCUAGUUCUGACUAUAAACGAUGCCAACUAGCGAUCGGGAGGCGUUACCAUGACGACCUUCCCGGCAGCUUCCGGGAAACCAAAGUCUUUGGGUUCCGGGGGAAGUAUGGUUGCAAAGCUGAAACUUAAAGGAAUUGACGGAAGGGCACCACCAGGAGUGGAGCCUGCGGCUUAAUUUGACUCAACACGGGGAAACUCACCCGGCCCGGACACAGGUAGGAUUGACAGAUGAGAG
rnacentral:rRNA from 1 species